CCCAAUAAAUAUAACCAAAAAUGUCAAAUUAUAUUCAUAACUUAACAAUUCAUUCCGCGAACAGAACUAUUGUCACACCAAAGAACGGUUGUAUUUGAUUGUUUCAAUGCUGGCAUGAUCAUUAUUUAGAGGUAGUCUAUCAGAAUGGGACAAGAUUUACAGUACCGCCUAGAGAAUGACGAGUGGAACCAAUAUUGACAAGCAUUUGUACAAAUUUGUUGCUUGAAAUAGCGAAAUUGUUUAUGAUUUGUAUGUUCCAUCGCAAUAGUAGGAGAUCAAAGAGCCAGGGAGGGUACAACCAAAAGGAAUCCACAAAGAAUAAAACAAACGUGACACACAAUGGAGAGGUCGCUCAGAGGUUGCAAACUGCUGUGAAUGAGGUAAUGCGGGUAUGACGCUUACCCACACCUCUUCUUACCGCCUGGAUUAAAAACAAUUCAUUUGGAGCCCAAUGCGACUAUGAAAAAUAACUCAAAUCUUGCAUGUCAAUGUUUUGCAGAUCCUCUUCCUUUAUAUAACAGUUCUUAAAUACUUCUUUGUACAUCUACUUGGAUGAAUUUCACCAGCACAAUGCAUCGUGUAGCAUGAAUCAUGUAUCAGUUGUCAUCUUUCAUGUUUUAAGUGCUGCACUAUCGUAAGAAGUCCAUCACCGAUCCCUUAUCCGGCUAUGUUGCUGAACGCGCACAAUGAUCUUCAAUAACGACUAUUAAAUAGAGUUUUUAAAGUCUCAACUUGGGGUCUUCAAGUGCGUAAAUAGAGUACUAUGGCAACCAGACUCAGGUAAAUGGAUAUUUGUUACUAUUUAAAUGGUAAGGGAAAUCGAAUGAAGAUCGACAGUUCUUCGUGCUUACUUUAUUUUAUAGAUCACAUUACUCUGCAAUAAAAUACGACAUGGAAAUUUGUAAUAUUUUUC